rnacentral:misc_RNA from 1 species
AUCUAUCAAAUCUUCAGGCCUGAAGGAGCAGAGUGUGUCAUCUGAAUCUGUAAAACCAGGAUUAGACAAUUCUAAAGCUAAAGGCUUAUCCUUUCCUUUGCUAGACCUUCAUAAGGACCAUGAUGAAGAUACUCUUCCGUCGCCUACACGACAGAUUGGACCACAGUUCCCUGCUACACAGACUCAUGGAAUGGUGAAACUCGACUUGCCUAUUUUCCCGGCUUCUCUUGACAAAGGAAAUUCUUUAUUACAUCCUUAUGAAACUGAUGCCCUUAAAGCUGUUUCCUCUUAUCAACAAAAAUUUGGUCGAAGUUCCCUUUUUGUUAGUGAAAACCUUCCAAGUCCAACUCCCUCUGAAGAGGAUGAUAGUGGCAAAGGGGACACUGGUGGGGAGGUCACCAGUUUUGAUGUUGUACAUAAUGCCAGCCAUCUGAAUGAAUCUAGCAUGGGACAACCAAUAUUGUCUUCUGUUCCCCAGACCAAUAUUCUUGAUGGACAAGGACUGGGAACUACUCGAACUGCAGAUCCUCUGAGUUUUCUGCCAAAUCCUUCUUUGCGAUCUUCUACAGCAAAAAGUAGAGAUCCCAGACUCAGACUAGCAACCAGCGACACAGUUGCUCAGAACACGAUCUUGCCUAUCCCAGAUAUUGAUUUGAAAUUG